AUCUCUAUCACUAUAUCAUUGAAAACUCCUUUCAAUGGGUUGGAACGAUUCCAACUCAACUCAUUGGGGUUUAUCGAUCAUCAAGAUAAUCCCUAUGAGUCCCACCAUCCACCAGUGACACCGCAUGUAGUGGCUACCCAGCAGAAUGGAAUGAUGAACCUCUAGGUGCAGUUAACAUGUGAUAUAGUCCUACUAUCGUGGAUCCCUACAGGACGGAGGUCAUGGACAACUCGUCAAACCCCAUCGUCUGUCAUAUGUCAAGAUUUAUUUGACUUGAGUUCGAUAGUGAAAAACUCUUUCUCCACUGUGCAUACUGCUCCGGCCGAGGUCUUACGAACUCAGUCUUAUAAAUCACAUAGGAUCUCUCCUUAUCUAUCAAGGUCGAUAGAUUCCAUAUAGGUGCAUACCCUACUCCUACAGUGAACUUACUGCAGCCAAUCUACACUGCAUGGUCCCAUAUGGCUAGAGACCAUGUAUGUGUGCAGUCAAACUACAAUAACCUCACUG
rnacentral:lncRNA from 1 species